GGGCUGGGGCUCAGUGGUAGAGCACUUUCCUAGCAUGUUCGAGACCCUGGGUUCAAUCCUCAGCACCACA
rnacentral:tRNA from 1 species